ensembl:lncRNA
GUUGGGGAGAGAAUAUCCCAGUGGAGAGAGGGAAGCCCGCUAGGCCCGCUAGACAGUAAGGACGGUUUGUGACGUAGUAUGACAACAUGAAAGCUAUUUGAGUCGGGGUAUAGCGCUGCACGUUAGGCAUGUUCGAAUAACCAGGAUGUGAUUGCGGGAAACACUGGUACUUCAAUUACCGAAAUAACAAUGCCGAAAACAGGGGGCUGAAUCUUUACGAGUGACUGGAAACCAAACCUCUGCCUUCGAUCUGCUUUGGCGUAACGACGGGCGACCAGCAAGCAGUGGAACACUGGAAGGCAUCAUGAUCUAUAUGGUACAAGGUAAUGACCUCUACCCUGUCUUUUCCCAGCGUGGCUUUUUCCAAUCUCUCCAAUUCCGUCUAGACAUUCAUCUCUUCCUCAGGAUCCUAACUCAGGGUUCACAUAGAGCUUUUGUUGUGUCUUAUUGACACUAGGGAGCUGGGUCUGGGCCUCUGUCCUGCCCGGGGCAGCUGUGCCUACACAUG